ACACCAGCUGAAGGAGACUGUGCCCAUGCUGGACCACCACCCUGACCCUGUCUCCUGACAGCAGAGGGGCUGGAAAACAAGCCGAAAUAUGUCGAUCAAUGGCAGAAAUACAUCGUUCACUUGUGGCCAUUAACAACACUUUAAGGGAACAUGCCGACUUAUUGGGACUUUACCUUAUUCACCGUAUCCCCCAGAGUUAGACAAGUCGAUUCAUACCUUUCUCAUCUCAGUGCGUUCUGUAAA